rnacentral:rRNA from 1 species
UACAGAGGUCUCAAGCGUUGUUCGGAUUCAUUGGGCGUAAAGGGUGCGUAGGUGGCGGGGCAAGUCAGGUGUGAAAUCUCGGGGCUCAACCCGAACUGCACUUGAUACUGCCUUGCUCGAGUACUGGAGAGGAGACUGGAAUUUACGGUGUAGCAGUGAAAUGCGUAGAUAUCGUAAGGAAGACCAGUGGCGAAGGCGAGUCUCUGGACAGUUACUGACACUGAGGCACGAAGGCCAGGGGAGCAAACGGG